AAUAGAUAAUAUCUGCCCACUGCUUAGGUAAAGGGCUGCGGUAUAUUGACUGUACGAAGGUAGCAUAAUCAUUAGCUUUUUAAUUUGAAGCUGGUAUGAAUGAUGAAACAUGAAGUAGCUUUAUUAUAUUUAAGAGUUGAAAUUUUUGUUUAUGUGAAAAGACGUAAAUUUAUAUAAGGGGCGAGAAGACCCUAAAAGCUUUAUUUUAUUUUACAACAGUAGUUUAUCAGGUUAAGGUUGUGAAGUAGAUUUUAAUUGGGGCGAUUGUUUUAAAAACAAAAAUUGUGUUUGAGGAAAAUAGCAAGAGGGAAAGACCUGAUUGGUUCAAUUGGAAGGAAAGUUACUUUAGGGAUAACAGCGUAAUAUUCUUUGAGAGUUCAUAUUGACGGGAGUUUGAUUGCGACCUCGAUGUUGGAUUAAAGUUUGGUUUUGGUGUAGUAGUCAAUAAUCAGGGUCUGU
rnacentral:rRNA from 1 species